rnacentral:RNase_P_RNA from 1 species
CGAGUUGACUAGGCAGUCGCUGUGCCGUUUUCUCGAUAAUUCACUUGUGUGUUGUCGGGUUUGGUGCAGAGGAAAGUCCGGGCUCCGCAGGGAAGAGUGCCAGGUAACGCCUGGGGGGCGCAAGCCUACGGAAAGUGCCGCAGAGAGCAGACCGCCGAUGGUUCGCUCGCGAAUCAGGUAAGGGUGAAAGGGUGCGGUAAGAGCGCACCGCGCUGCUGGCAACAGCAGUGGCAGGGUAAACCCCACUCGGAGCAAGACCAAAUAGGUUUCCACUGGCGUGUCCCGCGCUGGAAACGGGUAGGUCGCAAGAGGCAGGCGGUGACGUCUGUCCCAGAUGAAUGACUGUCCACGACAGAACCCGGCUUAUCGGUCGACUCACUAA